rnacentral:rRNA from 1 species
UACGUAGGGUGCAAGCGUUAAUCGGAAUUACUGGGCGUAAAGCGUGCGCAGGCGGUGAUGUAAGACAGGUGUGAAAUCUCGGGGCUUAACUCCGAAACUGCAUUCGAUACUGCCGUGCUUGAGGACUGGAGAGGAGACUGGAAUUUACGGUGUAGCGGUGAAAUGCGUAGAUAUCGUAAGGAAGACCAGUGGCGAAGGCGGGUCUCUGGACAGUUCCUGACGCUGAGGCACGAAGGCCAGGGGAGCAAACGGG